ACACACGCAUACACACACACACACACUAGAUAUAUAUGUAUAUAUAUAUAUAUAUCACUAUAUAUAUGUGUGUGUGUAUAUAUAUAUAUAUGUAUGUGUGUGUGUGUGUGUGUAU